UUUCUUCUUCUUUAUUCUCUUUCUUUCUUCCAUGUUCUUCAGAUGUUGGUGAUUUUAGAAAUUGAAAUCGAGACUUUUGAGAUCGAACGAGGUAGGGAAUGGUCAAGGGUUAUCUGAUAGAGGUGGUGAUGAUACGACUAUCGUAUUCAGAGUUCACGGAAAAGGUAAAUCGGAGAUUUACUUUAGGGUUUCGAAUUUAUUGAAAUUGUUCUGUGAAUGUGUUAUGCUUUGAUAGAUUAUAGGUGGUUUUUGAUCUUAAUUGUGCUGGAGAUGAUUGCAUAGAGUUUAAUUUUAGUUUUUCAGUUAACUGAAUUAGAAAUUAGGGUUUAUAAGAUUGAGUUGUUGAUGUGGAAUCUUAGAUGAAGGAGAUGAAUUAAUCAGUGGUGAUUCGAGGAAGACUUGAGGUUGUUAAAUCUAGGGUUGUAUACUGAUUUGGCAUUGCUAAUUUAGACUAUUGCAGAAGACAAAUUAAAAUUGGGGAUUUCAAUGGAGUUCUGAAAUUGUGGAAGAACAAAGGAAUUCAGGGAAUGGGUGUUGAUCAAAUUCAAGUUGCAGGUAAAGGACAUGAAUGAUUUGUUGGUGUUAUAUGUGCAGAAAUGGAAUUGGUGAUCGAUAUUCAGGUGUUGAUGAAUUUACUAUGUUGGUUGGUGGUAGUGACGCUGCAGGGAGUCUUGAGAAGUAAAUGAUGAGAUUAAUGUGCAUUGUUAGAGUGAUGAAUGAAUCAAAAUCCAGAAGAUGGUGGUUGUUUUUAUCAACAUGGGAUCAAUGGCCGUGAACCAUGUUUGAGGAAAUGCUUGAGUGCUAGCUGAAGCUGUUAUUGUUGUGAAGCUUGGGUAUGUGUUAUUGUUGUUAUUGUUGUGAACCAUGUUUUAAAGUUGUGUGUAUGUUGUUGGUUCGAUAUUUAAUGAUAUGCUGUGGAGAUGGUGAGCAGCAGUAUGGAGGAUAAAUGAAGUUGAAUCAGUUGUUUGGACAUGGAUUUGAUGGUGGGGGAACUGGUGGUAGUAUGCAAAAGAUAUAACAAUGGAGUAAUGGGCUGCUAACUUUUAGGUUGCUUUCUCUGAAUUAUUUUACAGUGAAUUGGCUGAAGUUGGUUACACUUACAGAGAUCAUCUUUUCGCUGCUAUUGACCCAAUACCCGCUAUUGCUUUCCCUCCAGUAGCAACGGCACUAUGGCAAGAGCAGAUAAAGCGUCUCGAACUCCUUUUGACAGUAAAAGAAUCUGCACUUAAUGUUCCAACUAACCUUGAAGCACGUAGAAGGAUUGCGUUCUUUACAAAUUCUUUGUUUAUGGAGAUGCCAUGAGCUCCCCCAGUUCGUAAAAUGUGGUCAUUCAGUGUUAUGACUCCUUAUUAUAGCGAGGAGACUGUGUACUCUAAAAGCGACCUUGAGUUGGAGAAUGAAGAUGGUGUAUCCAUUAUCUUUUACUUGCAAAAAAUCUUCCCAGAUGAAUGGAACAACUUUAUCAUUCAUACCACCACCCAUUUUUCAGAUCUGAAAAUGAAUAGAAGCAGAAGUAUGUGGUUGUGGAGAUGUUCAUUUAUGAUUUAUGGAGAAGAAGAUAAGAGUGCCACGUAAGCAGAGCCACAUGGGUCUUGCCACGUAACCUGUGCCACGUACGCAAUGGGUGGUGACGUAUAAAGAGUCAAAGUAGCUGGUUGGGUCGAAAUAACCGAUUCAAAGGACUAUCUUGUCAUUUUAAGUGCACCUAACGGUGCUAACUUUCCAUCUAUCACUUUUGGUCAAAACUUGCCUAGUCUAGCAAUAAAUAAAAAAAGUGGCCUACAUUUGAAAAGCACCAAAAAAACAGGCUUAUUUCUGUGAAAAGCCCAAAAAAAAAUGUCUCUUUUUUUUAUUAAAUAAAAAAAAUCUUCUUCUUUCGCUCC